UGGGCUUGACAUGCCCUGAAUCCUGCAGAGAUGCGGGAGUGCCCUUCGGGGAAUCGGAACAC
rnacentral:rRNA from 1 species